rnacentral:rRNA from 1 species
GACGAACGCUGGCGGCGUGCCUAACACAUGCAAGUCGAACGGGGUGGUUCCUUCGGGGGAUCACUUAGUGGCGAACGGGUGAGUAACGCGUGAGAAACCUGCCUUUCAGUGGGGGACAACAGUUAGAAACGACUGCUAAUACCGCAUAAUGUUAUCGAGCGGCAUCGCUUGAUAACCAAAGCUUUAUGUGCUGAAAGAUGGUCUCGCGUCUGAUUAGCUAGUUGGUGAGGUAACGGCUCACCAAGGCGACGAUCAGUAGCCGGUCUGAGAGGAUGAACGGCCACAUUGGGACUGAGAUACGGCCCAGACUCCUACGGGAGGCAGCAGUGGGGAAUAUUGGGCAAUGGGGGAAACCCUGACCCAGCAACGCCGCGUGAAGGAAGAAGGCCU